rnacentral:rRNA from 1 species
UUCCAGACUCCUACGGGAGGCAGCAGUGAGGAAUAUUGGUCAAUGGUCGGGAGACUGAACCAGCCAAGCCGCGUGAGGGAGGAAGGUCCAGAGUAUCAUAAACCUCUUUUGUCAGGGAACAAAGACUGGGACGCGUCCCCGGAUGAGUGUACCUGAAGAAAAAGCAUCGGCUAACUCCGUGCCAGCAGCCGCGGUAAUACGGAGGAUGCGAGCGUUAUCCGGAAUUACUGGGCGUAAAGGGAGCGUAGACGGCGAGGUAAGCCUUAAGUGGAAGCCCGCGGCCCAACCGCGGAACUGCUUUGGGAACUGUUUUGCUGGAGUAUGGGAGGGGUAAGCGGAAUUCCUGGUGUAGCGGUGAAAUGCGUAGAUAUCAGGAGGAACACCGGUGGCGAAGGCGGCUUACUGGACCAUAACUGACGUUGAGGCUCGAAAGCGUGGGGAGCGAACAGGAUUAGAUACCCGCGUAU